AGAGAAAUACCAAGACCUGAACUUCCUAGCAAAUGCUCUCUUCUAUUUUAAAUAUCCUUUUCAACAAAUGUUUGCUUAUGUGAUUUCUGUUUAGUGGGCAGUAGCAAGGCAAAAUUGAAUGUGUAAUAAGUCGAGCCCAGUAUUUUUCAAGCUCUGGCUCUUGGAGAUCUGUGGUUUUUGGUAGAUGCUUUGAGUGUGGGAUUGUGCAGGAACAGCAGGAUGGAGAUGGAUUGAUAUCAGGUUUAAAAAGAGAUGCUGCAUUUAUGGCUUCAUUCGAGGGAAAGGUUCCACUCACUAAAAAAUGUAGAUUCUUUCCUCAUGCAACACACUUCAUUACUCAUGUGUCCACAUUAGUGAGAUUUUUUUAAUUUCUGAAAAUGUCUUGUCAUAUCUUAGGUUUAUGCACAUUUUUGUGUCACUAAAGAAUAUUUCAUUCAUGUAUUCAUUUGUUCAUUCAUUUGUCAAAUAUCUUUGAUUUUCUACUGUUUCAGGUACUCUGGGGAUAAGAAGUGAAUAGAACAUAUUUAAGUUCUGGGGGACUCAAUCUGAAGAAGAAAGCAGAUACGGAAAUAAAACAGUGGAAUCACUUGCAGAGGAAACACAAGGAAAUGCUUAUAAUUUUUUCCUGGGGAGGUGAGGGAAGGCAUUUGGGGAAAGAAAAUGCCCGAUAUUAUCCUUGAAACAUGGAUUAGAACUGAACAGGGAAUCUAGUCCUAGAAGUCCCAAGACAGAGACAACAGCAAAUACUAAGUGCAGAGAGAAGAAAUCAGUUAGCCUCCCACACAGGUACCAUGUGAAGGCCUGGGCAUAUAACAUGAAACAAGAAAGAUAAGGCCCGUGCUUACAUAGAACUUGGUGAAGAAUCUAGACCAUAACAAGCACACAGAGAAAACGUAUCACAAAUUGUGCUAAAGUUCUGUAAAGGGAUUAAGAUGAAGUGUCACAAGACUGAAUUAGACAGAGUGCCCUUGAAAGAGUGCCAAUUUUUAGAAUGGAGGGUGUAGAUCCAUCCUUUGCAACUGGUGAGGACCUCCUCAGUAAGGCACUGAGCCAGGAGUCUAUACAGCCAUGCCAGCAGCCUAGUCCAAAGACGUUUACAUCCUGGAAGAGAACUUGCUGGCUUUUCACCUCAGCAUGUAUGGGCCAAACUAAUAUAACAAGAAGUCUUGAGAGGAGUCAGCGGCCAAGCUCCAUGUCUUGCAGCCAAACAAUGCUGUGGGAUGGAAGGUGGGAUGUCAUGUGUCUGGUUUACAGCACUCACGUAUCAGUUGGCAGUUAACGGAAGUGCUACUGAUUGUAACAGUGGAAGCAAUUUGAAAUGAAAUACAACACUUAAAGCAAAUGAAACGGAAGUGAAUGCCAGCAGUAAAUGGCAAGAAGAAAUCCAGUUCAGUGUGUUCCUCAGAAAUCUUGCCUCUUGGGACUAAAUGCUGCAAAUGUAACUCUUAUCCUUGUUUUUCAAGUUUUACCAUCUCAAAGCUAUCCACUUUAUAUUAAAUUAGUUCUGUUAUAUUAUGUCAAUUUGUAUUCUUAAGAGCACAAGUUUGGCCUCAAAUAGACCUGAGCUGAGAUCCAA
rnacentral:lncRNA from 1 species